rnacentral:lncRNA from 1 species
UCCCCCUAUCAAUUGAGUCCCCCCAUUUGCCAAAGAAAGGUUGUGGCAGAUGUUAGAAACCUUCCGCGCCAACCCUGCAAUUGUCCCGAUCCGUAAUUUGCGUCUUUUCUAACGUAAUGCUGUCUACUUUCAGUCAAAGGAAAGAAAACAAAAAAGACUAAAGACGAUAAAAAAAAAAGUUUUUUUGUGUUUUUCAGAAAACAAUCUCUUUCCCCCAUCCUUUUUUCUUAUUUUGGAAGAUUUCUGUGGUCAUGGCAUACAGCCGUCGCCAAUGUGGCUUCAUUUUCAUAGAGAUCUUAAUGACCGCCGUGAAUAUUGACCGGAUGUAAGUGAAUACUCACCCUAUGUUUAAGGGGUGACGCCAGUGUCUUCACAUGACCUGUACCGUUACUUACCUUGUGGGGUAAUCCUUUGUAACCACUUCUGUUGGCGACGACUCCGGCUGAUUGACUAGGAAAGGCUUGGCUUAUUCGAAAUAGAAUGGAAAGAACAGUUGCUAUCGUAAAAAAUUCCAGGUUUCAACAACCAAUCAGAAUCGUGAUACUAACACUACGUCACUUGCAGACAUACCAUUAUAGUUGAGAAUUCUUCAGUUUUAGUUUGUUGUACAGCUCACAAGCGGGAAAACCCAGCAGCAUAUACAACUACAGAGAGAGAGGGAGAGAGAGACACAGAGAGAGAGAGAGAGAGAGAGAGAGACAGAGAGGCAGAGAGAGAGAGAGAGACAGAGAGAGUAUGGGGCACAGAGAAUGCACUCACACAUGCAAAAAGAACAAUUCAUGCUUUAUAACUACUUUUAAGCUGUCAAAAAUAUAGUUCUUAUUAAUAUUUCCAAAAAUAUUUCUGUGAUAUAAUCUUGGCUAUACCUUUAUCAUUUUGGAAGGGUAUUUAUGAAAUAUUUCAAUUUACUUCUAUUGUCAUGCCAUUAUAUUUUAGAAUUUCUUCUUACUGUACAUUUUUGUAACUGUACAUUGUUCUGAAUGUGCAUUUUUUUAAAGAUGAUCUUAAAAAUAUUUCUGUAACAUGCCCUUGAGAACACAUCUACCAUACACUCUAAAAACUGUACCUCUGAUUUCAGAGGCACAUUUGAAUCAUUUGUGCCUCUGAAUUUUAAGGGCACAACGUACCUUUAAAAAUGAAAGGCACAAUGUACCUCUGAUUUCAGAGGCAAAAUCAGAUGUACCUCUUAACUUGGAAGGUACAUUGUACCUUAGAUUUUGCUUUUAUGUACCGCUCAUUGAAACAAGCAUUUAGUGGUACCAAAACCUGUUAUUUACCAGAUUUGAACACAUUUUUUUUUACCUAUUUGUAAUUUGCUAGCACUUUAUAUAAAAAGGGACUUUCUGUUUGGUUUACACUAUUACCAAGAUAUUAAUUAUAAUAAUUCUUAAUGAAAAAUAUUUCUCAAUUCUUUGAAUAUUGGCCACUUGAAAGUGAUCAUUUCAAGGGAUUCCAUCUAAGGCUUUUUCAUAGACAAUUAUAAAAUAUGUAAAUUUAUACCAUUUCUUUAAUUAUGUAGCGUUUAAUGAUACUUCAACAACUACAAUGAUGCUUUUCUAAUCAGAUAUAGGUACAAAAAGAUAAUAUUUAUUUCUGUUAAGCCAAGUCAAUAUAAUUCAUGGAUUUUUUUUCUUUUCCAAAAAGCAUCCUCAAAAUGGAAAUUUAUUAUAAAUUUAGAUAUUUUUUAAAUAUUUAGAGAUUUCAUAAAAUAGUUUUAUAAGGAUCAAAAAUUAAACACUAAAUAUCAUGAAAUCUAAUAUCUUUUAUUUUCACACAUAAAGAACAAUUUUACAUAAUUUAGUAACAGUUGCAAUAUGAUGUAUACAGUUGCACAAAUUUGGAAAAACAUAGAAUAUUUUAAAAUGAUAGAUGUAGAUUUUGACAACUUGGAUAUUUUAUAACAUGAAAUAUGCUUAAACAAAUGACUUAACAAGUGUAAAAUAAAAGAUUUCUUUCCAUUGAAAUGAAUUUUUUUAAAAUCCAGAUUUUGGCGAAACAUAUUAACCCGUUAGGCGCCAUCAUUCCCAUUUUGGGAACAUUAGCUUUCAAUUUUUUUAGAACUAACUGUACUUAAUAUUAUUUAAUCGAUGAUUUUAUUUGAGCUCAGAAUAUAUGAAAAGCCUUCUGCAAUUUUUUUGGAAAGCUUGUUUCAAAUUUUUUUUUUAUUGUAUUUUAAAAAACGUGAAAUUCUGCAUUUUUGCCCCAAUCAUUAAACAUGCAUUUGUUUUAUAAAUAUUAUUAAAAUAAAAAUUACUUUCGUGCUUAAACUUGAUUACAACAAUCGGAUAUAAUUCUCUUUUCUAUAAUCCGAAUUUCGAUGUCUACAGUAUUUCUUAAAAUGUCCUAUUUCACCACAAUAGAAACAUUCACGUUCAGAUCUAAAUUUCUUCACAAUACUUGGCGAAUUCCAUUUCUCAUUAAAAUGUUCUUUCUGGCGAUCGUUAUUACACGGAAUAGCUUGUGGAUCAUACUGAAAAUUGGCAAUGAGAUUUUCUUUAAAGUAAUAAUAAUUAUCAUCAUAAAUUUCUGACCUUUCAGCAGGAAUAAGCUGUAAAGCACACGAAAACCAAAGAUCGAAAUUCACACUAAAUCUCUUCGCUUUCUGUUCAAAGAGUUCGAAGUACCGUCGAAUUCCACACUUCUUGGCAUCAAUUUUAAACAUCUCAUUCACUAAUUUUUUCUAAAGUAGGAAAUCCUUAAUAACAAUAAUAUUUGUCACCAAUUCUUUCAAAAACUUAAUAAAACAUUUCUGGAACGGAUCCCACCGCUGCCACCAAUUAAUACAUAGCUGUAGCGUAUCAAGCUAUAUUAAAGAACUGUUCAGUUUUUUUAUAAAAACAUUUAUUUCACACCACAACAAAUACAAUAACAAAUAUAAAGUACCCGUAACGGGAUAGUUAAAUCUUAUAAAGGAAACUAGAAAAAGUGCCCGUAGCGGGAUAUAUGAAAACUCACCCGUAACGGGAUAGAUAAAAUAUCAUAAAACAAACUAGAUAAACCCGUAACGGGUAAUAUGAAAACUCAAAUUCCACACAAAACUAAUUCUAAAAAAUCAACAACUUUCUGGUGUUCUAAUUUUAUCGUCUGCUUUUAUUAUUUGUAUUUCGUCAUAAAAUAUUUCAUUGAUGUGCGCAUGCGCUUCUUCUCCGUUACAU